UACGUAGGGCGCAAGCGUUGUCCGGAUUUACUGGGCGUAAAGAGCGCGCAGGCGGUCGUUCAAGUCGAGUGUGAAAGCCCCCGGCUCAACUGGGGAGGGUCACUCGAUACUGAUCGACUCGAAGGCAGGAGAGGGUAGUGGAAUUCCCAGUGUAGCGGUGAAAUGUGUAGAUAUUGGGAGGAACACCGGUGGCGAGGGCGGCUACCUGGACCGGUACUGACGCUGAGGCGCGAAAGCUAGGGUAGCAAACAGG
rnacentral:rRNA from 1 species